rnacentral:rRNA from 1 species
AAUGAACGCUGGCGGCAUGCCUAACACAUGCAAGUCGAACGAGACCUUCGGGUCUAGUGGCGCACGGGUGCGUAACGCGUGGGAACCUGCCCUUAGGUUUGGAAUAACUCCCCGAAAGGGGUGCUAAUACCGGAUAAUGUCUUCGGACCAAAGAUUUAUCGCCUUUGGAUGGGCCCGCGUUGGAUUAGCUAGUUGGUAGGGUAAAAGCCUACCAAGGCGACGAUCCAUAGCUGGUUUGAGAGGAUGAUCAGCCACACUGGGACUGAGACACGGCCCAGACUCCUACGGGAGGCAGCAGUGGGGAAUAUUGGACAAUGGGCGGAAGCAUGAUCGAGCAAUGCCGCGUGAGUGAUGAAGGCCUUAGGGUUGUAAAGCUCUUUUACCCGGGAUGAUAAUGACGGUACCGGGAGAAUAAGCUCCGGCUAACUCCGUG